AACGCUAGCUACAGGCUUAACACAUGCAAGUCGCGGGGUAACAUCUGGGAGAGCUUGCUCUUCCAGGAUGACGACCGGCGCACGGGUGAGUAACGCGUAUCCAACCUGGCCCAUACCACGGGAUAGCCCGUCGAAAGGCGGAUUAAUACCGUAUGCUGUCAUCAAGAUGCAUAUAUUGAUGACGAAAGGAUUGGCGGUAUGGGAUGGGGAUGCGUCUGAUUAGCUUGUUGGCGGGGUAACGGCCCACCAAGGCGACGAUCAGUAGGGGUUCUGAGAGGAAGGUCCCCCACAUUGGAACUGAGACACGGUCCAAACUCCUACGGGAGGCAGCAGUGAGGAAUAUUGGUCAAUGGGCGCAAGCCUGAACCAGCCAAGUAGCGUGAGGGAAGACUGCCCUACGGGUUGUAAACCUCUUUUGUUUGGGAAUAAAGUGCGGGACGUGUCCCGCAUUGCAUGUACCAUUUGAAUAAGGACCGGCUAAUUCCGUGCCAGCAGCCGCGGUAAUACGGAAGGUCCGGGCGUUAUCCGGAUUUAUUGGGUUUAAAGGGAGCGCAGGCCGUGGGUUAAGCGUGUCGUGAAAUUCCGUCGCUCAACGGCGGACGUGCGGCGCGAACUGGUCCACUUGAGUACGCGGGACGUUGGCGGAAUUCGUGGUGUAGCGGUGAAAUGCUUAGAUAUCACGAAGAACUCCGAUUG
rnacentral:rRNA from 1 species